UACGUAGGGCGCAAGCGUUGUCCGGAAUUAUUGGGCGUAAAGAGCUCGUAGGUGGUCUGUUACGUCUGCUGUGAAAACCCAGGGCUUAACCCUGGGCCUGCAGUGGAUACGGGCAGACUAGAGGUAGGUAGGGGAGAAUGGAAUUCCCGGUGUAGCGGUGAAAUGCGCAGAUAUCAGGAGGAACACCGGUGGCGAAGGCGGGUCUCUGGGCAGUAACUGACGCUGAGGAGCGAAAGCGUGGGGAGCGAACAGG
rnacentral:rRNA from 1 species